AGAGCAAGAGUUCUAGAGAGAGAAAGAGAAGAAUUGAGAGAAGAGGAGAGAAAUGGCUGUGGAAGAGAGGGGAUGGAUCAUAUAUAGUGUUGUAACAAUUGCACUUAAGCCCCCCCACUUGUUUCCCAUUGAUCUGCCCAGACUGGGCAUUUUUCGCCUUCCGGGACCGGUCUCCCCGACCUGGGACCAGUUCCCGAACGGGGGUUUUCCAGGACUUAGC
rnacentral:lncRNA from 1 species